CUGGUCUGGGACCUGAGAAGACUUCCUUCUUCCAGGCUCUGAGCAUCACCACUAAAAUCUCCAGGGUGCACCAUUGAAGUCCUAAGUGAUGUACAGCUGAUUAAGACUGGAGACAAAGUGGGAGCCAGUGAGCCCACCCUCCUGAACAUGUUCCCUAAUUUCCUUUGGGCUGAUCAUUCAACAGGUGUUUGACAGUGGCAGUAUCUACAACCCUGAAGUGCUUGACAUUACAGAGGAAGUUCUGCAUUCUCGCUUUCUGCCCCCUUCAAAUCAAGUGGUGGAUACACCACUGAGUCUCACGUCUUGCAUAGUCCUGGGUCAGCAUGUCUGUAGCAGUAUCCCCAAGCCAGCACCACUAGCCACACCACAAGAAUGACUUUUGUGUGAAGAUGUGCAGUUUUUGAACAACACAAAAAUUCUGGACAAGUGAUCCACAGCUGAAAUCCACAGAGCCUGAACUAAAGAAGAAAACCUCUUUUAACAGAGCCCUGACCCCAUGCUACAUCAGUGUCUUUCUAUCCCUCAAAUCUAUCAGUCACUUCACAUUCAAUGGCCUUGCAAUUCCACUGUCUUAAUACAACAUACUACGCUUCCUGGUUAUUCACUUACCAUAUGCCUUACACCCACCAUUUGAGCUCAUGAAGAAUGCAAACCUGUCAACUGUAUUCUCUCUUCUUAUCUAUCAAAACCUUUUUCAUAUUACAUCCUUUCCAAUAUAAUUUGGAAUUGAUGAAUAAAUGCCUAGACAUAAAUUCCCCAAGUUCCUAUAUUAUUUUAACACUAACCAGAAAAAUAUUUAUUUUAUGGCUGACUCCAUUUCAAAUAUACCCUUUCACUUUAUCCAUAU
ensembl:lncRNA